rnacentral:lncRNA from 1 species
UCGGCAGGACUUGAGGAGAUUCCUAUGAGGAAUACCGAUCGUAGUGAGAUAAACAAAUAAGCGCAGUCACCGCCCUAAAUACCGGCGCUAGCGGAAAACUCGUACAUUCCGCGAUCUAACUGCACGUACAUUCCGCGAUCUCACUGCGCCGUCCUGACGGUGCCCUAAUGUCUAUCACUUAGCUACCGGAUAUGCAUCGGUAGCCCAUAAGGUUCUGGGGUAAGUCUUCCCCAUUAGACAGGCGCAGACCCGUGGUCAAAUCCCCUGGUCGACAACCACACGAGUUGGGAGAGGACCGUUUCCUCAACAAACCCGAACCAUUUGGUGAAGGUUCAGGCAUAGGUCCACACACAUCCAUGUGAAUGAGUGCGAGAGGCUGUGCUGCCUUAUGCCCAGAUAAUGGAAAAGGACCCCGAGUAUGCUUUGCAAGGACGCAAGUCUCACACACACACGCGCUGGCUAAUUGUAUGCUGUGUCGGUCAACAUCGAACCCAGUUACCAUAUUGUGACGCAGCAACGCCUCAAGGUUGCUGUAUCCCAAGUGGCCAUACCGUCAGUGCCAAAGUGCUGCACGUUCAGCUCCGAUAUCCACGGCAGCACACACUGCACCACCACCAGAAGGCAUCCUGUUGUCUUCACGCUGCGUCCACUUCAGAGCGCCCGUACCUCCACUGCUGUAGCAGACGGGAUACAAGUCCCCGUCCCGCUUUCCAGUCAGCACCAACUGGUUCUGUACGUAUACUUUCACCUGUCCGCCACCGAAGACCACACUGCCUCCACGAUCAUCAAUGAUGCGGACCGAUAGGAUUUUGGCGGUGGCCUCCUCGUCGACGUAGACCUUCUUAAAAGUGAUGGCCUGUUUAUCGUUGACGUUAGACCGAAUCAUAACCGUGCCAACUUUAUGUCGGCCAAAGAGACUGUCCCUUGAUGCCCAUGAUGUUGAAGCGCUCCCAUGUUGGGUUGGCACGGGUACUAUACUAGAAAAGAGUACUAUACUAUAAAAGUACUAUGCAUAGUACUAUUUACUAUGCAGGGCUCUUAACUGGUACUAGUUUACGACGCUCGUACCGCGUUCGUACAUAGUAAAAUAGUAUAGUAAAAAUAGUACUAGAUAGUAUUGAAGAAUUGGCGACGGUGACGGCUAACGCUGAUUGUUAUUCCGGAAGGAUUGCCGCUGGCGAAGAUAUUUAGCACGAUAAACUGUUACAAGUAAUGUAUAGAGUAUUAUUAGCGUUCGGCAGGACUUGAGGAGAUUCCUAUGAGGAAUACCGAUCGUAGUGAGAUAAACAAAUAAGCGCAGUCACCGCCCUAAAUACCGGCGCUAGCGGAAAACUCGUACAUUCCACGAUCUAACUGCACGUACAUUCCGCGAUCUCACUGCGCCGUCCUGACGGUGCCCUAAUGUCUAUCACUUAGCUACCGGAUAUGCAUCGGUUGUUGGAAAUGACCGACACUCAUAUACCAGUGAAUGGUAGCCACAGUAAUAGGACCCAACGGGGGUCCGGCGCUUUGCUGGUCUUAACAGGUUAUGAGCCCCGAAUGGCGCAUUGCGCUGCCGAGAGGUCGCCGGAUCGAUACCCACUGGCUGUUGCCCAGAGAAUGGGAGACCGGGAUGAGGCACGGGAAGGCCCGGAGCGAGAGAGUGUCGCUCACGGGGGGGUGUUGGAAAUGACCGACACUCAUAUACCAGUGAAUGGUAGCCACAGUAAUAGGACCCAACGGGGGUCCGGCGCUUUGCUGGUCUUAACAUCGGUAGCCCAUAAGGUUCUGGGGUAAGCCUUCCCCAUUAGUCAGGCGCAGACCCGGGGUCAAAUCCCCUGGUCGACAACCACACGAGUUGGGAGAGGACCGUUUCCUCAACACGUCCCCUCGGGCCGUAUCCCAACGAGUACCAAGUUCACCUGCACACUUCACACAAGGCCCAUCGCAUCUCGGCAACGUUUGAACUUCACCUCGCCCAGAGCCUUCGUUAGCACAUCCGCAACCAUCCACUCCGUAGGGCAGUAUUCCAACUGCACCUCACCACUAUUCACCCUCUCACGCACUAUGUGAUGCUGCACGUCGAUGUGCUUCGACCGAGCAGACGUAAUCGGGUUAUUUCCCAAGCUAAGCGCCCCCUGGGAAUCUAUUUGGAUUCUGAUAGCGCUCUCAGGCAAACCCAAA